AACGAACGCUGGCGGCAUGCCUAACACAUGCAAGUCGAACGAGACCUUCGGGUCUAGUGGCGCACGGGUGCGUAACGCGUGGGAACCUGCCUUUAGGUUCGGAAUAACUCAGAGAAAUUUGAGCUAAUACCGGAUGAUGUCUUCGGACCAAAGAUUUAUCGCCUUUAGAUGGGCCCGCGUUGGAUUAGCUAGUUGGUGGGGUAAAGGCCUACCAAGGCGUCGAUCCAUAGCUGGUCUGAGAGGAUGAUCAGCCACACUGGGACUGAGACACGGCCCAGACUCCUACGGGAGGCAGCAGUGGGGAAUAUUGGACAAUGGGCGAAAGCCUGAUCCAGCAAUGCCGCGUGAGUGAUGAAGGCCUUAGGGUUGUAAAGCUCUUUUACCCGAGAUGAUAAUGACAGUAUCGGGAGAAUAAGCUCCGGCUAACUCCGUG
rnacentral:rRNA from 1 species